rnacentral:rRNA from 1 species
UACGUAGGGUGCGAGCGUUAAUCGGAAUUACUGGGCGUAAAGCGUGCGUAGGCGGUUCGCUGUGUCCGAUGUGAAAGCCCCGGGCUUAACCUGGGAAUGGCAUUGGAAACUGGCGGGCUUGAGUGCGGCAGAGGGGGGUGGAAUUCCGCGUGUAGCAGUGAAAUGCGUAGAGAUGCGGAGGAACACCGAUGGCGAAGGCAGCCCCCUGGGUCGACACUGACGCUGAGGAGCGAAAGCCAGGGGAGCAAACGGG